AGUAGGGGGCAGGGUUACUGGAUGGAAAAUUAAAAGAAAACUAAGGCAGUAAUCAAGAAAAACAACCUAACAGGAUUCUUGCUGAAGGCAGGCCAGGGAGAUCAACCCUUACCUGUGGGAUGGUGGAAAAUGAGGAACCCAAUCAGAUAUGGAGGGUGAGUAGAUAUCAAGGAUGGGGGAUUCUGGUUAAACUGACUCAGUAGGAUUCUUGCUAAAAUUGGACAAUGUAGGGAUGAACGCAGAAGCCAAAAAGUCAGGGCUUGGUUGAGAAGAGAGUUCAGAGGAGCCUGACUAAAUUUUGGUUUAAAAGAGACUCUGCCAGUGAAAGGUGUCACAGAGAGGAAAUCAGAUUCAUCACCCAUUUUAUUUAUUUAUUUUUUAAAUUAAAAAAAUUGUAUUUACUUAGAAGCAUUCAGAAUGUCAACAAAACAGCUGCAACUUUUUUUUGCAAUUAGAAUGGUAUUCAGUUAACAGAACAACAAUUAUUUCAUAGAAGCUGCAUCAGAGACAACUGAAGAUGAAAAAUUACCCCAUCCCCAUAUAUAACUAAUUUGUGCUGUGCACCAACAAGAACCUGCUUUAAAUUUCUAUGCCAAUUUACAACCCCCAUACUAGACCAGGCAAGGUUAGUGGCUAUUGAAAAUACCACCAGGACAGGGCUAUCUAAAGACACAUUCAGUAGUGUGUUAACUAUACAAAAAAAAGAUACUGUACAGUUUAAAAACAAAUCUUACACAGCCUUACAUUUCAAUUUUUUCUUUAAAAGGAGUGAGUUGUGUACGGGGGGGUGGGUGGGUUAAAUGCUUUAUAGACAAGAAAAAAAACUGCGCUAGAACCAACUUAUUCAUCAUCAUCAUCAUCUUCUUCAUCUUCUUCCUCCUCCUCAUCCUCUUCAUCCUCAUCGUCUUCCUCCUCUUCCUUCUUUUUCUUGCUCUUUUCAGCCUUGACAACUCCCCCCACCCCCUCUUUUUUUUGCCGCAUCAGGCUUUCCUUUAGCUCGGUAUGCAGCAAUAUCCUUUUCAUAUUUUUCCUUCAGCUUAGCAGCCUUCUUUUCAUAAGGCUGCUUGUCAUCUGCAGCAGUGUUAUUCCACAUCUCUCCCA
rnacentral:lncRNA from 1 species